GCGACAGUGGCUCAGUUGGUAGAGUACAACCUUGCCAAGGUUGGGGUCGCGGGUUCGAACCCCGUCUGUCGCUC
rnacentral:tRNA from 3 species